rnacentral:rRNA from 1 species
UACGUAGGGUGCGAGCGUUAAUCGGAAUUACUGGGCGUAAAGCGUGCGCAGGCGGUUUUGUAAGACAGAGGUGAAAUCCCCGGGCUCAACCUGGGAACUGCCUUUGUGACUGCAAAGCUGGAGUGCGGCAGAGGGGGAUGGAAUUCCGCGUGUAGCAGUGAAAUGCGUAGAUAUGCGGAGGAACACCGAUGGCGAAGGCAAUCCCCUGGGCCUGCACUGACGCUCAUGCACGAAAGCGUGGGGAGCAAACAGGAUUAGAUACCCUGGUAGUCCACGCCCUAAACGAUGUCAACUGGUUGUUGGGUCUUAACUGACUCAGUAACGAAGCUAACGCGUGAAGUUGACCGCCUGGGGAGUACGGCCGCAAGGUUGAA